CCUGUUGUUUGAAGUCAAUGUUUUAGCACAGUUUGUUACAGAAUAGUCGAUAUCUGGAACAGCCUCUAAAUUCCUUAAAAAUACUGUGCUUAGCAGUACAGUAAGUCCCCUACAUAGGAACCUUCAACUUGUGAACUUUUCAAAGAUGCGAACGUGUGUUCGCGUGUCCAAUCAUGUAAGUUAGUUCAUGUGUCUGGCAUACAUUGUGACAUGCUUGCAUCCUCUACAAAUGGUUGUGCUUUUGUGUACUUUGCUGUACAGAACUGUAUAGAGUACAGUAGUACAGUAUCUUUAUUUCAAGCCCAGGAUGUCCGGAAGCAAGCGUAAAAGCAGCGAUGAUGUAGCUGGUACUGCUGUAUUUUCAAGACGUGAUCCAGGCGUAUCUGAUUCCAAGAGUGGAUUAUUUUUUAACACUACCUGCUUCUACACAACACAAGUAUUUUCAAGUAACAAACACAUCAACCUCGGACUCCCCCUCCAGCGCACCCUCCCGCAGAGCCCAACAGCCAGAUGAUGGAGAAGAAAGGUCAACAGGGUCUCAGCACCAAGCAAAACACAGCAAGGCUGAUUUGAAAGGAGAGACAAUGUGUUUCCUGCCACAACAGGCAGGUAAACUUUUCAGGUAUCUCCCACAAGUCCUCCAAAUAAUCAAAACUUCACGGAAACCUCAACAUUUUUUGAACGUGUGGUCUUCAAUUUACUUUCCAAACUAUUAUUUUAAAACCGAGCUAUUUGUAAUGAGGUGGAUAGACCUAGAGUCUGUCAUACAGAGUGAAGUAAGUCAGAAAGAGAAAGACAAAUACCAUAUGCUAACACAUAUAUAUGGAAUUUAAGAAAAAAAAUGUCAUGAAGAACCUAGGGGUAAGACAGGAGUAAAGACACAGACCUACUGGAGAACGGACUUGAGGAUAUGGGGAGGGGGAAGGGUGAGCUGUGACAGGGCGCGAGAGAGGCAUGGACAUAUAUACACUAAAAAACGUAAGGUAGAUAGCUAGUAGGA